rnacentral:rRNA from 1 species
CAGUCGCCGCGGGAAUACGUAGGUGGCAAGCGUUGUCCGGAAUUAUUGGGCGUAAAGGGCUCGCAGGCGGUUUCUUAAGUCUGAUGUGAAAGCCCCCGGCUCGACCGGGGAGGGUCAUUGGAAACUGGGAAACUUGAGUGCAGAAGAGGAGAGUGGAAUUCCACGUGUAGCGGUGAAAUGCGUAGAGAUGUGGAGGAACACCAGUGGCGAAGGCGACUCUCUGGUCUGUAACUGACGCUGAGGAGCGAAAGCGUGGGGAGCGAACAGGAUUAGAUACCCCGGUAGUCCCUGUCUCUUAUAC